rnacentral:misc_RNA from 1 species
UGUCUUCCGCUCAUCAAGGGGCCUGAAAAUAAAUGACUUUAAUCUUUUCUUGUAUGAACUUGAAAUGUUAGCACUAUGUUGUUCAACCAAGCUAAGGAAAAGGAGAAAGUAUUUUCCUUUCUAACAAAGAAAGAACAAGCCGAGGAAAAGUAGAAAGUAUUUUUCCUUUCUAUCAAAGAAAGAACAAGAAGAAGACUAGUGAUUAGACAACAUGAUCAAUAAG